rnacentral:miRNA from 1 species
UCACCAUCCCUGUCUCCAUAG